AUGUGUUUUGCUGCUUGCAAGAAAGGUUUCCUGGCUGGUUGUAGAAGGGUAAUAGGCCUGUAUGGAUGUUUCAUCAAGGGUGCUACAUAUGGGCAGUUGUUAUGUGCUUUGGGCAGAGAUGCAAAUAACCAGAUUUAUCCGAUAGCAUGGGCUUUAGUUGAGAAGGAAACAUAUGAAUCUUGGUUUUGGUUUCUUGCAUUGUUGAACAAGGAUUUAAAAAUACCAAACCAAGGAGAAGGUUGGGUAGUAAUAUCUGACCAGCAAAAAGGUCUUAUUGGUGCUAUUGAGGAUAUAUUUCCCAAAGUUGAACACAUGAUGUGUGCAAGGCAUAUAUAUGCAAACUGGAAAAAAGAAACAUCCUGA
rnacentral:rRNA from 1 species